rnacentral:rRNA from 1 species
UACGUAGGGUGCGAGCGUUUAAUCGGAAUUACUGGGCGUAAAGGGUGCGCAGGCGGCUCCGCAUGUCGGGCGUGAAAUCCCCGGGCUUAACCUGGGAAUUGCGUCCGAAACUAUGGAGCUGGAGUGUGGCAGAGGGAGGUGGAAUUCCACGUGUAGCGGUGAAAUGCGUAGAGAUGUGGAGGAACACCGAUGGCGAAGGCAGCCUCCUGGGCCAACACUGACGCUCAUGCACGAAAGCGUGGGGAGCAAACAGG